GACGUAGGGCGCAAGCGUUGUCCGGAUUUAUUGGGCGUAAAGAGCUCGUAGGCGGCUGUUCAAGUCGAACGUGAAAACUCGGAGCUCAACUCCGAGCCUGCGUUCGAUACUGGACGGCUAGAGUCUGGUAGGGGGAUCGUGGAAUUCCGGUGUAGCGGUGGAAUGACGCAGAGUAUCAGGAGGAACACCGGUGGCGUAAGGCGGGAUCCUGGGCAGUGACCGUAAGGUCUUAAAAGCUGACGCUGAGGCGCGACAGGCGUGGGGAGCAAACAGG
rnacentral:rRNA from 1 species